rnacentral:rRNA from 1 species
GACGAACCGUCCGAACGUUAUUCGGAAUCACUGGGCUUAAAGGGUGCGUAGGCGGGUCUUUAAGUCAGGGGUGAAAUCCUGGAGCUCAACUCCAGAACUGCCUUUGAUACUGAGGAUCUUGAGUUCGGGAGAGGUGAGUGGAACUGCGAGUGUAGAGGUGAAAUUCGAUAGAUAUCGCAAGAACACCAGUGGCGAAGGCGGCUCACUGGCCCGAUACUGACGCUGAGGCACGAAAGCGUGGGGAGCAAACAGG